GGCAUGGAACAGAUUCCCCCUCAGAACCUCUAGAAGGAACCAGCCCUGCCGACAUCUUGAUCUUAACUUCCAGGCUCCAGAACUGAAGUCCCAACAAAUGGAAGUGGUCAGAACCUCUCUCCAGCCUUGAGAAGUCUUGAAGUUCCCAUACAGAUUUUGACCUUUGGGUCUUGGUGCAAUGUCAAGUUAACUGCACAGCGUGAUACACAGAUUCAGUCUUUGUCCUCAUUACCACUUUCUGCUAGGUCUAUAUGGAGAGUUAGAACUAGUGACCCAGCAGUCCUCUGCCUUCAGAUGUCAUCUGGCCCAGUGUAAGGACUGUCCUCUGUAGGGCCACCUGCCUUGGAGACCAAUGAUCAUCCUCAUCCCAAAAGGAAUGCCCAAAAAUCAACUCCUCCGAAAGGAUUUUUGACUGAAAAUAUCCCCAAAUGGUAAAUAAAUGUCUAAAACAAGUGAUAA